AUUGAACGCUGGCGGCAGGCCUAACACAUGCAAGUCGGACGGUAGCACAGAGGAGCUUGCUCCUCGGGUGACGAGUGGCGGACGGGUGAGUAAUGUCUGGGGAUCUGCCCGAUAGAGGGGGAUAACCACUGGAAACGGUGGCUAAUACCGCAUAACGUCGCAAAACCAAAGAGGGGGACCUUCGGGCCUCUCACUAUCGGAUGAACCCAGAUGGGAUUAGCUAGUAGGCGGGGUACCGGCCCACCUAGGCGACGAUCCCUAGCUGGUCUGAGAGGAUGACCAGCCACACGGGAACUGAGACACAGUCCAGACUCAUACGGGAGGCAGCAGUGGGGAAUAUUGCACAAUGGGCGCAAGCCUGUUGCAGCCAUGCCGCGUGUAUGAAGGAGGCCUUCGGGUUGUAAAGUACUUUCAGCGGGGAGGAAGGCGAUAAGGUUAAUAACCUUGUCGAUUGACGUUACCCGCAGAAGAAGCACCGGCUAACUCCGUGCCAGCCGCCGCAGUAA
rnacentral:rRNA from 1 species